rnacentral:rRNA from 14 species
GGUGGCAAUGGUACCGCGUUGUGAAAGGGGGAUCCCAUCAGAACUUCGAAGUUAAGCGUGCUUGGGUGAGAGUAGUACUAGGAUGGGUGACCUCUUGGGAAGUUCUCGUGUUGCAUUCC